GGUGGCUCAGUGGUAGAGUGCUUGCCUUGCAUGCAUAAGGCCCUGGGUUCGAUUCCCCAGCACCA
rnacentral:tRNA from 1 species